rnacentral:rRNA from 1 species
UACAUAUCAAUAAGCGGAGGAAAAGAAACCAACAGGGAUUGCCCUAGUAACGGCGAGUGAAGCGGCAACAGCUCAAAUUUGAAAUCUGGCUCUUUCAGAGUCCGAGUUGUAAUUUGCAGAGGGCGCUUUGGCGUUGGCAGCGGUCCAAGUUCUUUGGAACAGGACGUCACAGAGGGUGAGAAUCCCGUACGUGGUCGCUAUCCUUCGCCGUGUAAAGCCCCUUCGACGAGUCGAGUUGUUUGGGAAUGCAGCUCUAAAUGGGAGGUAAAUUUCUUCUAAAGCUAAAUACUGGCCAGAGACCGAUAGCGCACAAGUAGAGUGAUCGAAAGAUGAAAAGCACUUUGGAAAGAGAGUCAAACAGCACGUGAAAUUGUUGAAAGGGAAGCGCUUGCAGCCAGACUUGCCUGUAGUUGCUUAUCCGGACUUUUGUCCGGUGCACUCUUCUAUAGGCAGGCCAGCAUCAGUUUGGGCGGUUAGAUAAAGGUCUCUGUCAUGUACCUCUCUUCGGAGAGGCCUUAUAGGGGAGACGACAUGUAACCAGCCUGGACUGAGGUCCGCGCAUCUGCUAGGAUGCUGGCGUAAUGGCUGUAAGCGGCCCGUCUUGAAACACGGACCAAGGAGUCUAACAUCUAUGCGAGUGUUUGGGUGUCAAGCCCAGACGCGUAAUGAAAGUGAACGGAGGUAAGAACCCUUUGGGUGCAUUAUCGACCGAUCCUGAUGUCUUCGGAAGGAUUUGAGUAAGAGCAUGGCUGUUGGGACCCGAAAGAUGGUGAACUAUGCUUGAAUAGGGUGAAGCCAGAGGAAACUCUGGUGGAGGCUCGCAGCGGUUCUGACGUGCAAAUCGAUCGUCAAAUUUGGGCAUAGGGGCGAAAGACUAAUCGAACUAUCUAGUAGCUGGUCUGC